GACGGAGGGGGCUAGCGUUGUUCGGAAUUACUGGGCGUAAAGCGUGCGCAGGCGGCUAUGCAAGACAGAUGUGAAAUCCCCGGGCUUAACCUGGGAAUUGCGCUUGAAACUAGCGGGCUUGAGUGUGGCAGAGGGGGGUGGAAUUCCACGUGUAGCAGUGAAAUGCGUAGAGAUGUGGAGGAACACCGAUGGCGAAGGCAGCCCCCUGGGUCAACACUGACGCUCAUGCACGAAAGCGUGGGGAGCAAACAGG
rnacentral:rRNA from 1 species